CAUCGCCUCCUGCCCACUCAGCAUAGGAGGUCCCGCCUGCCCUGUGACCAAAAGUUUAACGGCCGCGGUAUUUUAACCGUGCAAAGGUAGCGCAAUCAAUUGUCUUUUAAAUGAAGACCUGUAUGAAUGGCAUAACGAGGGUUUAACUGUCUCUUUUUUCAGGUCAAUGAAACUGAUCUGUCCGUGCAGAAGCGGACAUAUUAACACAAGACGAGAAGACCCUAUGGAGCUUUAGACGCCCACCAACCGCGAAAAGCAGCCUACCUAAACAGAUGCUCUAAACAACGCGGUCCUGGUACAAACGUCUUCGGUUGGGGCGACCGCGGAGGAGAACAAAGCCUCCGAGAGGAAUGGGAACAAACCCCAAAACCAAGAGCCACAGCUCUAAGUCACAAAAAAUUUGACCGACAAUGAUCCGGCUUACUGCCGAUCAACGGACCAAGUUACCCUAGGGAUAACAGCGCAAUCCCCUCCCAGAGUCCAUAUCGACGAGGGGGUUUACGACCUCGAUGUUGGAUCAGGACAUCCUAAUGGUGCAGCCGCUAUUAAGGGUUCGUUUGUUCAACGAUUAAAGUCCUACGUG
rnacentral:rRNA from 1 species